rnacentral:tRNA from 1 species
UGGCUCAGAAGGUAAAGUGUCUGCCUGCAAUGCAGGAGACCCAGGUUCGAUUCCUGG